rnacentral:rRNA from 1 species
UACAGAGGGGGCGAGCGUUGUCCGGAUUCAUUGGGCGUAAAGAGCGCGCAGGCGGCUUGGUAAGUCGGAUGUGAAAUCCCGAGGCUCAACCUCGGGUCUGCAUCCGAUACUGCCCGGCUAGAGGUAGGUAGGGGAGAUCGGAAUUCCUGGUGUAGCGGUGAAAUGCGCAGAUAUCAGGAGGAACACCGGUGGCGAAGGCGGCUCUCUGGACCAGCACUGACACUGAGGCACGAAAGCGUGGGGAGCAAACAGG